UAACAGUCGGAACAACUGCUAAUACCGGAUGCCGUCGGAGCGUCGCAUGGCGGCGCUGACGAAAGGGUUACUGGAUCAGGAGGGUCUCGCGGCCUAUCAGCUUGUUGUGGGGUAACGGCCUACCAAGGCAUCGACGGGUAGCUGGUCUGAGAGGAUGAUCAGCCACACUGGGACUGAGACACGGCCCAGACUCCUACGGGAGGCAGCAGUGGGGAAUCUUGCGCAAUGGGGCGAAAGCCUGACGCAGCAACGCCGCGUGCGGGAAGAAGGCCUUCGGGUUGUAAACCGCUUUCAGAAGGAACGAAACUGACGGUACUUUCAGAAGAAGGUGCGGCCAACUACGUGCCAGCAGCCGCGGUGACACGUAGGCACCAAGCGUUGUCCGGAUUUAUUGGGCGUAAAGAGCUCGUAGGCGGUUCGGUAAGUCGGGGUGUGAAAACUUUGGGCUCAACCCAAAGCGUGCAUUCGAUACUGCCGUGACUAGAGUUCGGUAGGGGAGUGGGG
rnacentral:rRNA from 1 species